UACGUAGGGUGCGAGCGUUAAUCGGAAUUACUGGGCGUAAAGGGUGCGCAGGCGGUUCUGUAAGUCAGAUGUGAAAUCCCCGGGCUUAACCUGGGAAUUGCGUUUGAAACUACAGGGCUAGAGUGUAGCAGAGGGGGGUGGAAUUCCAUGUGUAGCAGUGAAAUGCGUAGAGAUAUGGAAGAACAUCGAUGGCGAAGGCAGCCCCCUGGGUUAACACUGACGCUCAGGCACGAAAGCGUGGGGAGCAAACAGGAUUAGAAACCCCGGGUAGUCC
rnacentral:rRNA from 1 species